CAUCUGAACGUGUAUAGGGUGGUGGGGGGAACGCGGGGAAGUGAAACAUCUCAGUACCCGCAGGAAAAGAUAUUCCGUGAGUAGUGGCGAGCGAAAGCGGAGGAGGCUAAACCAGAUGCGUGUGAGAGGCGGCGGCCGUUGCGUGUUUGGUGUUGUGGGGCCAUGUUGGACUCUUCUGCCGGAGGGUCGCGCCGCAUGAUGCUGGGAGUUGAACAGUCUGGGAAGUCUGACCGUAGAGCGUGAGAGUCGUGUAGAUGGACUGGUGUUGUGUGGUGUGGGUGUGGUACCCGAGUAGCGCGGGACUCGUGAAAUCUCGUGUGAAUCUGCCAAGACCACUUGGUAAGCCUAAAUACUACUUGAUGACCGAUAGUGCAUAGUACCGUGAGGGAAUGGUGAAAAGUACCCCGGGAGGGGAGUGAAAUAGUACCUGAAACCGUGUGCCUGUAAGCCGUCAGAGCCUUGUGGGGUGAUGGCGUGCCUUUUGAAGAAUGAGCCUGCGAGUUAGUGAUACGUGGCGUGCUUAACCCGUGUGGGGUAUGCGUAGCGAAAGCGAGUCUGAAAGAUGGCGUUUGUCGCGUGUUCUAGACCCGAAGCGGGGUGAUCUACCCAUGGUCAGGUUGAAGCAGAGGUAAGACUGUGUGGAGGACCGAACCCACCAGGGUUGAAAACCUGGGGGAUGAACUGUGGGUAGGGGUGAAAGGCCAAUCAAACUCCGUGAUAGCUGGUUCUCCCCGAAAUGCAUUUAGGUGCAGCGUCGCGUGGUCCCUGGUGGAGGUAGAGCUACUGGAUGGCCGAUGGGCCCUGUGGGUUACUGACGUCAGCCAAACUCCGAAUGCCAUUAGGUGUAGCGUGGCAGUGAGACUGCGGGGGAUAAGCUUCGUAGUCGAGAGGGAAACAGCCCAGAUCAUCAGCUAAGGCCCCUAAGCGUGCGCUAAGUGGGAAAGGAUGUGGAGUCGCGGUGACAACCAGGAGGUUGGCUUAGAAGCAGCCAUCCUUGAAAGAGUGCGUAAUAGCUCACUGGUCAAGUGGUUCUGCGCCGACAAUGUAGCGGGGCUCAAGCGUACCGCCGAAGCUGUGGCAACGACAUGGAUAGCUGGCGCCAGGAACUGGAGUGCUGGUGUGUUGUUGGGUAGGGGAGCGUCCUGCACGAGGUGAAGCCUGGAGGGAACUUCUGGUGGAUUGUGUGGGAGUGAGAAUGCAGGCAUGAGUAACGAAUCUGCGGUGAGAAUCCGCAGCGCCGAUUGACUAAGGGUUCCAGGGCUAGGUUUAUCCGCCCUGGGUUAGUCGGGUCCUAAGGCGAGGCCGACAGGCGUAGUCGAUGGACAACCAGUUGAUAUUCUGGUACCGCGUUGUGACCGCCCAUGCUGAAGUCAUUGUGCUAACCAAUCUGCCCGUACCCCCGCAUGACUUUCGGGUUGUGUGGUGUGUGUGGGUCUUGGGGUCCCGGUGAUGGUAGGCAAGCGUGUUAACAGGGGUGACGCAGACAGGUAGCUGCAGUGCGCCGAUGGUUGUGCGUAUUUAAGGUUGUGGCCCGUUCCUCAGGUAAAUCCGGGGGACACGUGGGUGAGAACUGAUGAGGGACACACGCGUGUGUGGACUUGUGGUGAUCCUAAGCUGCCGAGAAAAGCCUCGACGUGAGGGCAUGACGCGCCCGUACCCUAAACCGACUCAGGUGGUCAGGUAGAGUAUACCGAGGCGUUCGAGUGAAUCGUGGUUAAGGAACUCGGCAAAAUUCCUCCGUAACUUCGGGAUAAGGAGGACCCCGUGACUUCCCAACACCGCGCGUGUUGGUGGGGUUGUGGGGUCGCAGAGAAUAGGGAGAAGCGACUGUUUAUCAAAAACACAGGUGCGUGCGAAGCCGUAAGGCGAUGUAUACGCACUGACGCCUGCCCGGUGCUGGAAGGUUAAGAGGAACCGUCAACACCCACUUGUGGGUGUGAAGCGGUGAAUUUAAGCCCCAGUAAACGGCGGUGGUAACUAUAACCAUCCUAAGGUAGCGAAAUUCCUUGUCGGGUAAGUUCCGACCUGCACGAAUGGCGUAACGACUUCUCCGCUGUCUCAACCGCGAACUCGGUGAAAUUGCAGUACGAGUAAAGAUGCUCGUUUCGCGCAGAAGGACGGAAAGACCCCGGGACCUUUACUAUAGCUUGGUAUUGGUGUUCGCUUGGACUUGUGUAGGAUAGGUGGGAGACUGUGAAGCUGCCGCGCCAGCGGUGGUGGAGUCGUCGUUGAAAUACCAUUCUGGUUCAAGCGGUCACCUCAACCUUGGCCCGUGAUCCGGGUUGGGGACAGUGCCUGGU
rnacentral:rRNA from 1 species